rnacentral:rRNA from 1 species
GGGUUGUGAGGUUAAGCGACUAAGCGUACACGGUGGAUGCCCUGGCAGUCAGAGGCGAUGAAGGGCGUGCUAAUCUGCGAUAAGCGCCGGUAAGGUGAUAUGAACCGUUAUAACCGGCGAUACCCGAAUGGGGAAACCCAGUGUGAUUCGUCACACUAUCAUUAACUGAAUCCAUAGGUUAAUGAGGCGAACCGGGGGAACUGAAACAUCUAAGUACCCCGAGGAAAAGAAAUCAACCGAGAUUCCCCCAGUAGCGGCGAGCGAACGGGGAGGAGCCCAGAGCCUGAAUCAGCAUGUGUGUUAGUGGAAGCGUCUGGAAAGGCGCGCGAUACAGGGUGACAGCCCCGUACACAAAAGCGCAUGUGCUGUGAGCUCGAUGAGUAGGGCGGGACACGUGGUAUCCUGUCUGAAUAUGGGGGGACCAUCCUCCAAGGCUAAAUACUCCUGACUGACCGAUAGUGAACCAGUACCGUGAGGGAAAGGCGAAAAGAACCCCGGCGAGGGGAGUGAAAAAGAACCUGAAACCGUGUACGUACAAGCAGUGGGAGCNNNNNNNNNNNNNNNNNNNNNNNNNNNNNNNNNNNNNNNNGGGCGUUAAGUUGCAGGGUAUAGACCCGAAACCCGGUGAUCUAGCCAUGGGCAGGUUGAAGGUUGGGUAACACUAACUGGAGGACCGAACCGACUAAUGUUGAAAAAUUAGCGGAUGACCUGUGGCUGGGGGUGAAAGGCCAAUCAAACCGGGAGAUAGCUGGUUCUCCCCGAAAGCUAUUUAGGUAGCGCCUCGUGAAUUCAUCUCCGGGGGUAGAGCACUGUUUCGGCUAGGGGGCCAUCCCGGCUUACCAACCCGAUGCAAACUGCGAAUACCGGAGAAUGUUAUCACGGGAGACACACGGCGGGUGCUAACGUCCGUCGUGAAGAGGGAAACAACCCAGACCGCCAGCUAAGGUCCCAAAGUCAUGGUUAAGUGGGAAACGAUGUGGGAAGGCCCAGACAGCCAGGAUGUUGGCUUAGAAGCAGCCAUCAUUUAAAGAAAGCGUAAUAGCUCACUGGUCGAGUCGGCCUGCGCGGAAGAUGUAACGGGGCUAAACCAUGCACCGAAGCUGCGGCAGCGACACUGUGUGUUGUUGGGUAGGGGAGCGUUCUGUAAGCCUGCGAAGGUGGCCUGUGAGGGUUGCUGGAGGUAUCAGAAGUGCGAAUGCUGACAUAAGUAACGAUAAAGCGGGUGAAAAGCCCGCUCGCCGGAAGACCAAGGGUUCCUGUCCAACGUUAAUCGGGGCAGGGUGAGUCGACCCCUAAGGCGAGGCCGAAAGGCGUAGUCGAUGGGAAACGGGUUAAUAUUCCCGUACUUGGUGUUACUGCGAAGGGGGGACGGAGAAGGCUAUGUUGGCCGGGCGACGGUUGUCCCGGUUUAAGCGUGUAGGUGUGUGUUCCAGGUAAAUCCGGUUCACUUUAACACUGAGGCGUGACGACGAGGCACUACGGUGCUGAAGCAACAAAUGCCCUGCUUCCAGGAAAAGCCUCUAAGCAUCAGGUAACAUCAAAUCGUACCCCAAACCGACACAGGUGGUCAGGUAGAGAAUACCAAGGCGCUUGAGAGAACUCGGGUGAAGGAACUAGGCAAAAUGGUGCCGUAACUUCGGGAGAAGGCACGCUGACACGUAGGUGAAGUGAUUUACUCAUGGAGCUGAAGUCAGUCGAAGAUACCAGCUGGCUGCAACUGUUUAUUAAAAACACAGCACUGUGCAAACACGAAAGUGGACGUAUACGGUGUGACGCCUGCCCGGUGCCGGAAGGUUAAUUGAUGGGGUCAGCGCAAGCGAAGCUCCUGAUCGAAGCCCCGGUAAACGGCGGCCGUAACUAUAACGGUCCUAAGGUAGCGAAAUUCCUUGUCGGGUAAGUUCCGACCUGCACGAAUGGCGUAAUGAUGGCCAGGCUGUCUCCACCCGAGACUCAGUGAAAUUGAACUCGCUGUGAAGAUGCAGUGUACCCGCGGCAAGACGGAAAGACCCCGUGAACCUUUACUAUAGCUUGACACUGAACAUUGAGCCUUGAUGUGUAGGAUAGGUGGGAGGCUUUGAAGUGUGGACGCCAGUCUGCAUGGAGCCGACCUUGAAAUACCACCCUUUAAUGUUUGAUGUUCUAACGUGGACCCGUUACCCGGGUUGCGGACAGUGUCUGGUGGGUAGUUUGACUGGGGCGGUCUCCUCCUAAAGAGUAACGGAGGAGCACGAAGGUUGGCUAAUCCUGGUCGGACAUCAGGAGGUUAGUGCAAUGGCAUAAGCCAGCUUGACUGCGAGCGUGACGGCGCGAGCAGGUGCGAAAGCAGGUCAUAGUGAUCCGGUGGUUCUGAAUGGAAGGGCCAUCGCUCAACGGAUAAAAGGUACUCCGGGGAUAACAGGCUGAUACCGCCCAAGAGUUCAUAUCGACGGCGGUGUUUGGCACCUCGAUGUCGGCUCAUCACAUCCUGGGGCUGAAGUAGGUCCCAAGGGUAUGGCUGUUCGCCAUUUAAAGUGGUACGCGAGCUGGGUUUAGAACGUCGUGAGACAGUUCGGUCCCUAUCUGCCGUGGGCGCUGGAGAACUGAGGGGGGCUGCUCCUAGUACGAGAGGACCGGAGUGGACGCAUCACUGGUGUUCGGGUUGUCAUGCCAAUGGCACUGCCCGGUAGCUAAAUGCGGAAGAGAUAAGUGCUGAAAGCAUCUAAGCACGAAACUUGCCCCGAGAUGAGUUCUCCCUGAGACUUAGAGUCUCCUGAAGGAACGUUGAAGACGACGACGUUGAUAGGCCGGGUGUGUAAGCGCAGCGAUGCGUUGAGCUAACCGGUACUAAUGAACCGUGAGGCUUAACCUUACAACGCCGAAG